UUGAACGCUGGCGGCAGGCCUAACACAUGCAAGUCGAGCGGUAGCACAGAGAGCUUGCUCUCGGGUGACGAGCGGCGGACGGGUGAGUAAUGUCUGGGAAACUGCCUGAUGGAGGGGGAUAACUACUGGAAACGGUAGCUAAUACCGCAUAAUGUCGCAAGACCAAAGUGGGGGACCUUCGGGCCUCAUGCCAUCAGAUGUGCCCAGAUGGGAUUAGCUGGUAGGUGGGGUAACGGCUCACCUAGGCGACGAUCCCUAGCUGGUCUGAGAGGAUGACCAGCCACACUGGAACUGAGACACGGUCCAGACUCCUACGGGAGGCAGCAGUGGGGAAUAUUGCACAAUGGGCGCAAGCCUGAUGCAGCCAUGCCGCGUGUGUGAAGAAGGCCUUCGGGUUGUAAAGCACUUUCAGCGGGGAGGAAGGCGGUGAGGUUAAUAACCUCACCGAUUGACGUUACCCGCAGAAGAAGCACCGGCUAACUCCGUGCCAGCAGCCGCGGUAAUACGGAGGGUGCAAGCGUUAAUCGGAAUUACUGGGCGUAAAGCGCACGCAGGCGGUCUGUCAAGUCGGAUGUGAAAUCCCCGGGCUCAACCUGGGAACUGCAUUCGAAACUGGCAGGCUAGAGUCUUGUAGAGGGGGGUAGAAUUCCAGGUGUAGCGGUGAAAUGCGUAGAGAUCUGGAGGAAUACCGGUGGCGAAGGCGGCCCCCUGGACAAAGACUGACGCUCAGGUGCGAAAGCGUGGGGAGCAAACAGGAUUAGAUACCCUGGUAGUCCACGCUGUAAACGAUGUCGAUUUGGAGGUUGUGCCCUUGAGGCGUGGCUUCCGGAGCUAACGCGUUAAAUCGACCGCCUGGGGAGUACGGCCGCAAGGUUAAAACUCAAAUGAAUUGACGGGGGCCCGCACAAGCGGUGGAGCAUGUGGUUUAAUUCGAUGCAACGCGAAGAACCUUACCUGGUCUUGACAUCCACAGAACUUAGCAGAGAUGCUUUGGUGCCUUCGGGAACUGUGAGACAGGUGCUGCAUGGCUGUCGUCAGCUCGUGUUGUGAAAUGUUGGGUUAAGUCCCGCAACGAGCGCAACCCUUAUCCUUUGUUGCCAGCGGUCCGGCCGGGAACUCAAAGGAGACUGCCAGUGAUAAACUGGAGGAAGGUGGGGAUGACGUCAAGUCAUCAUGGCCCUUACGACCAGGGCUACACACGUGCUACAAUGGCAUAUACAAAGAGAAGCGACCUCGCGAGAGCAAGCGGACCUCAUAAAGUAUGUCGUAGUCCGGAUUGGAGUCUGCAACUCGACUCCAUGAAGUCGGAAUCGCUAGUAAUCGUAGAUCAGAAUGCUACGGUGAAUACGUUCCCGGGCCUUGUACACACCGC
rnacentral:rRNA from 1 species